AACGAACGCUGGCGGCAGGCUUAAUACAUGCAAGUCGAGGGGCAGCAUGACUGUAGCAAUACAGUUGAUGGCGACCGGCAAACGGGUGCGGAACACGUACAGAACCUUCCUUCGAGCGGGGAAUAGCCCAGAGAAAUUUGGAUUAAUACCCCAUAGUACAACGGAGUGGCAUCACUUUGUUGUUAAAGAUUUAUCACUUGAAGAUGGCUGUGCGGCUGAUUAGGUAGUUGGCGGGGUAACGGCCCACCAAGCCUGCGAUCAGUAACUGGUGUGAGAGCACGACCAGUCACACGGGCACUGAGACACGGGCCCGACUCCUACGGGAGGCAGCAGUAAGGAAUAUUGGUCAAUGGACGAAAGUCUGAACCAGCCAUGCCGCGUGGAGGAUGAAGGUCCUCUGGAUUGUAAACUUCUUUUAUAUGGGACGAAAAAAGGGUUUUCUAACUCGUCUGACGGUACCAUAUGAAUAAGCACCGGCUAACUCCGUGCCAGCAGCCGCGGUAAGAC
rnacentral:rRNA from 1 species